rnacentral:rRNA from 1 species
GACGAACGCUGGCGGCGCGCCUAACACAUGCAAGUCGAACGGGGUCUACAGGGAAGCUUGCUUCCAGGCAGACCUAGUGGCGGACGGGUGAGUAACACGUGAGCAACCUGCCCUAAAGAGGGGAAUAACGUUUGGAAACGAACGCUAAUACCGCAUAAUAUAUUUGAGCCGCAUGGUUUGGAUAUCAAAGGAGAAAUCCGCUUUGGGAUGGGCUCGCGCCCGAUUAGAUAGUUGGUGAGGUAACGGCCCACCAAGUCGACGAUCGGUAGCCGGACUGAGAGGUUGAUCGGCCACAUUGGGACUGAGACACGGCCCAGACUCCUACGGGAGGCAGCAGUGGGGAAUAUUGCACAAUGGGGGAAACCCUGAUGCAGCGACGCCGCGUGAGUGAAGACGGCCUUCGGGUUGUAAAGCUCUGUUGCAGAGGACGAUAAUGACGGUACUCUGUGAGGAAGCCACGGCUAACUACGUGACAGCCGCCGCCGUAAAAC